UACGAAGGGGGCAAGCGUUGUUCGGAAUUACUGGGCGUAAAGGGCGCGUAGGCGGCGCGGUAAGUCACUUGUGAAAUCUCUGAGCUUAACUCGGAACGGUCAGCUGAUACUGCUUUGCUAGAGUGCAGAAGGGGCAAUCGGAAUUCUUGGUGUAGCGGUGAAAUGCGUAGAUAUCAAGAGGAACACCUGAGGUGAAGACGGGUUGCUGGGCUGACACUGACGCUGAGGCGCGAAAGCUAGGGUAGCAAACGGG
rnacentral:rRNA from 1 species